rnacentral:rRNA from 1 species
AGAACGAACGCUGGCGGCAUGCCUAAUACAUGCAAGUCGAACGAAGCUUCGGCGUUAGUGGCGCACGGGUGCGUAACGCGUGGGAAUCUGCCCCUUGGUUCGGAAUAACAGUUGGAAACGACUGCUAAUACCGGAUGAUGACGAAAGUCCAAAGAUUUAUCGCCAAGGGAUGAGCCCGCGUAGGAUUAGCUAGUUGGUGAGGUAAAGGCUCACCAAGGCAACGAUCCUUAGCUGGUCUGAGAGGAUGAUCAGCCACACUGGGACUGAGACACGGCCCAGACUCCUACGGGA